rnacentral:lncRNA from 1 species
CAUCCUAGUGGAGAGGGGCAGACAGCUCAUCAUAGUGGGGAAGGGCAGACAGCUUGUCACAGAGGGGAAAUGCAAUGGCAGCAGCUUUGUGUCAGAGGGCUGUUCACACGGUAGUAGAUAAAAGUGGAGAACAUGGCUGGAAUCUUCACAAGAUUGCUCCUAGUGAUCUACUUCUGCCAGGCCUCACACGGGCCACCAGACCAUGUGACCACAGAUAUGGCUGAAGCAGUCAGUGGCCUAUUUCUUCAUAACAUGCCCGUGACCUCCAUCUUGGGUGUGGCCUUAGAUCACUGGCUGCAGAGGAGCUGCUACAAUGUCACCAGGAUGCUCCAGCCACCUACUGCAGGACUGUGAGAAAGAUAGAUAUCAGGCCGCCGCUGGCCCUCCUUGAGCUUGGAAAUGGAUUUUCUCUCAGCUACUUUCGACCUCAUCAAGUAUUCUGAUACAGUUUUCAGAAAGCAAGCGGUUUCCAUGGAAACUGAGCCAGCAGUUUCCAGGUGGCUUGGGGAUGGACACAGGGAAUCAUUGGGCCCCGGGCUUUUCAGCUGGUGCUUCGCCUGCACAUGCUGUUGGAUGGAAAGUCAUCCCCAUUAAAAGCACAAGAAGAAAAAAAACUAUCUUGCUUUUGGGAAGAAAACCAACUAAACCAAAAAACCCGUCAAGCUUAGUGGCUCGUGUGCACGAUUCCCUCCUGACAGGAGCUGAGUACUCAGCAGCCCUGAGCCCAAGCUGAAUCGGAAGUGUCAGCAAACCCCUGCAGACACAGGGAACUGCAAACUGCUUUUUCUGAUGUCAGGACUUCUCCUCAGGGAGCUCACUCUGCUGCAUUUGCUCAUGGCCAGAAGACUCAUCCGGCAGGAGAAAGGUGGGAAAAGGUUCUAGUUCCCCAUUUCUUCUCACUGCUUCAGAUAUCAACCUCAUACAGUCAGCCUGACACUGGAGGGGCCUCUAGGAGCAGCAUGGCUGACAUAGGAAGCAUCCUUCUUACUGGAACUAAGUAAAAAUCUACAAUAUAGAUAAGCCCAA